GCUGGCGGCGUGCCUAAUACAUGCAAGUCGAGCGAACAGACGAGGAGCUUGCUCCUCUGACGUUAGCGGCGGACGGGUGAGUAACACGUGGAUAACCUACCUAUAAGACUGGGAUAACUUCGGGAAACCGGAGCUAAUACCGGAUAAUAUAUUGAACCGCAUGGUUCAAUAGUGAAAGACGGUUUUGCUGUCACUUAUAGAUGGAUCCGCGCCGCAUUAGCUAGUUGGUAAGGUAACGGCUUACCAAGGCAACGAUGCGUAGCCGACCUGAGAGGGUGAUCGGCCACACUGGAACUGAGACACGGUCCAGACUCCUACGGGAGGCAGCAGUAGGGAAUCUUCCGCAAUGGGCGAAAGCCUGACGGAGCAACGCCGCGUGAGUGAUGAAGGUCUUCGGAUCGUAAAACUCUGUUAUUAGGGAAGAACAAAUGUGUAAGUAACUAUGCA
rnacentral:rRNA from 1 species